rnacentral:tRNA from 1 species
GCGGGUGCUGGAAUUGGUAGACAGGAUAGACUUAGGAUCUAUUGGGGUUACGCCUCGUGAGGGUUCAAGUCCCUCCUAAAAUCCGUA